rnacentral:rRNA from 1 species
AUCUACAGCCACGCCACCCUGAACAAGCCUGAUCCCAUCUGGUCUCGGAAGCUAAGCAAGGUCGGGCCUGGUUAGUACUUGGAUGGGAGACCACCUAGGAAGACCAGGUGCUGUAGGUG